rnacentral:rRNA from 1 species
AAAGUAAUGAUUGAUAGGGAUAGUUGGGGCCGCUCGUAUUGAGUUGUCAGAGGUGAAAUUCUAGGAUUUACUCAAGACGAACUAAUGCGAAAGCAUUCGGCAAGGAUGUUUUCAUUAAUCAAGAACGAAAGUUGGGGGAUCGAAGAUGAUCAGAUACCGUCGUAGUCUCAACCAUAAACUAUGUCAACCGAGGAUCCGGUAGCGUUACAUGGAUGACCUUCCGGGCACUCUGUGAGAAAUCAUAAGUAUUUGGAUUUCGGGGGGAGUAUGGUCGCAAGGCUGAAACUUAAAGGGAUUGACGGAAGGGCACCACCAGGAGUGGAAUCUGCGGCUUAAUUUGACCCAACACGGGGAAACUUACCAGGUCCGGACACAGUGAGGAUUGACAGAUUGAGAGCUCUUUCUUGAUUCUGUGGGUGGUGGUGCAUGGCCGUUUUUAGUUGGUGGAGUAAUUUGUCUGGUUAAUUCCGUUAACGAACGAGAC